AAAAAUUGAAAAUCAAUUCUUUUAUAUAAUAUUUUUUAGUAAGACAAUUCUUUAAAAAAAAUGACAUUCAAAAGAUGACAUUGAUCAUUUUACCCUAUUUCUAUCUUUUUCUGUUCUUUUAUUAUAUAUUUCAGUUGUGAUAGAGAUGGCGCUGAUUUCCAUAUUUUUAAUAAAUUUCUGUCCUUUUUCCAUCAUUUAUUUCUCUUGUCUAUACUUGUUCUGCAUGUGAUUACAAAGGAGCAAUAAGAGAAAUAGAAAAGAAUCUUGAAACGUUUUAUAAAAAAAAUGACGCUCUAAAAUAAAAACACUAAAAUGAUAGCAAUUUUAGUGUCUUUAGAAUAAAAAAAAUAUGCAUUGAAUAAUCGUCAUAUAUAUAUUACAAUACAAAUAUUUUGUAUUAAUUUGAUGAGA